AAAACGGCCCUUUUAAGGGCCCCAAACUUUCUUAAGAGGGGUUCGU
rfam:Zootermopsis nevadensis contig34287, whole genome shotgun sequence.